CCUCCCACUCCUCUACGCAUCAGACAAACUUUACCUUCGCGGGCAUUUUGAUCCACUUCAUCUCGGAAAGCUGUUAUUCGGAGAAUAAAAGGUUGCAGAAUAACAGCUAAUAUUAAUGGAUCAUUCUAUUCAAGAGAAUGUCAACUGGAACUUGGAUGUUUUCAUAACAGGCUUAAAGAUGAACAAAUUGAUAAAGAAACCCUCCUGCUGGACAUCCACUUCCAAAAGUGCACACCACACUGUUUUCUACAAACUCCCAGGAAAAGAAUCCUCUUUAGUAAGACUGCUCCGUGGAUAUUUUAGGUUAAGCAGUGCUGAAACCGAAAGAACUAACGCUCUUUAAAAUGUUUUGUGAGUUUAUAUGAAGAGGAAAGUUACGGUGUCCCUUUUUCACAUCCAUAACGCUUGUUUAUUUCUUUUUUUAUAGAAAACUUGUGCAUAGAUUUAUAUUUUAUCAUAUAAAUGCGGUUCUAUCAACAAGGGUUUAGUAAAAUACUUUUUAUAGUGUUUUGAAGUGUUAAGUUGUCUAACUAUUUAUAUUUACUUGUGCCACUUUAAUAACCUUGUUAAAUGUAUAUGUUAAAAUCUAAACUAAUGUAAUUUAUUGAAGUUAAUUUUCUUUAAAUAUGUAUAAACAUACAUUUCAUCAAA